CGUCCCUAGUAAAGUCUAGAGCUUCUCACAGUAAACAAAAAUGGCGUCUCAGUUGCAGAAGAUCGAAGGAGACGAAUCCGUACUGCUCCGCGUUACACAUUCCAAUCUGAAGACCUUCUCCGCCGACAUCCGCUUCUCCCUCCAGAGCUCCGUCGAGUCCGUCAAGGACAAGCUCUGGCGCAAAUGCGGCACCUCCGUCGAUUCCAUGUCCCUCCACCUCUACGACGACGCCAACACCCUAGUCUCCACUCUCACCGACAACUCCAAACCCCUCGGCUUCUAUUCCCC
rnacentral:lncRNA from 1 species